GACGUAGGAUGCAAGCGUUGUCCGGAUUUAUUGGGCGUAAAGAGUUCGUAGGCGGUUCGUUAAGUCUGAUGUUAAAGACUGGGGCUCAACCCUGGGAGUGCAUUGGAUACUGGCGGACUGGAGUACAGUAGAGGCAAGCGGAAUUCCCAGUGUAGCGGUGAAAUGCGUAGAUAUUGGGAAGAACACCGGUGGCGCAAGCGGCUUGCUGGGGCU
rnacentral:rRNA from 1 species